UACAGAGGGUGCGAGCGUUGUCCGGAAUCACUGGGCGUAAAGGGCGCGUAGGCGGCUUGGUAAGCGUGCGGUGAAAGCCCGGGGCUCAACCCCGGGUCGGCCGUGCGAACUGCUGGGCUGGAGCACUGUAGAGGCAGGUGGAAUUCCGGGUGUAGCGGUGGAAUGCGUAGAGAUCCGGAGGAACACCGGUGGCGAAGGCGGGUCUCUGGGCCAUUACUGACGCUGAGGAGCGAAAGCGUGGGGAGCGAACAGG
rnacentral:rRNA from 1 species